UACGGAAGGCAGCAGUGGGGAAUAUUGCACAAUGGGCGCAAGCCUGAUGCAGCCAUGCCGCGUGUAUGAAGAAGGCCUUCGGGUUGUAAAGUACUUUCAGUCGUGAGGAAGGUGUUAAGGUUAAUAACCUUAGCAAUUGACGUUAGCGACAGAAGAAGCACCGGCUAACUCCGUGCCAGCAGCCGCGGUAAUACGGAGGGUGCGAGCGUUAAUCGGAAUUACUGGGCUAAAGGGCACGCAGGCGGUUAAUUAAGUUGGAUGUGAAAUCCCCGGGCUUAACCUGGGAAUGGCAUUCAAGACUGGUUAGCUAGAGUCUUGUAGAGGGGGUAGAAUUCCAUGUGUAGCGGUGAAAUGCGUAGAGAUGUGGAGGAAUACCGGGUGGCGAAGGCGGCCCCUGGGACAAAGGACUGACGCUCAUGUGCGAAAGCGUGGGGAGCAAACAGGAUUAGAUACC
rnacentral:rRNA from 1 species